GGGGGGUGGGGGCAGCAUAAAGCGUGUUGCAUCACUUUUCCCCUUAGGAUCCGUGCCUUGCGAACGUUCCGAUCAAGCCCCGAUCGCCAACCGCAUCCUUGUUUCUGGAAUAUCUACUGCAAGGGUUGUGUCCUUCGGUCGCUCGCUCUCUCUCGGUUUCCUUUCUGGAUCGCUGUACGAGCAGAUGAACAGGGGCGCUCUAGGAUUCAAACAGCAUUGUGUUUGGGGCGGCUGCACGACUUCCCUCCGCCGGUGUCGGUGCUGUGGAGCAGCAGUCCGUGCACAGAACUUGCAGAACAGAGAGGGGAGGGUCUACGGCGCCGAAUAUUGAUUGACGCGGGAUUCUACCAAACAGCGAGAUGCCGCCGGCCGCAGUCGAAUGAUGGAACAAGACGGCACGGAAUGAAAAACCUUCUAAAACAUGAAGGGUACCUAGAGGCCGUAAAAACCUGCACUGGCCCUCCAGGACCGGAGCUGCCCACCCCAGUCCUGCACACCCUGGGGGAGGAAGCCACCGAGAGCUCAGCCUGGCAGGAUAUAAACCAGCCCAGCCCUGAAUUUAACCCUAACCCUAACCCUGCUCCUGGAGAUCUAUUAUCUACUGCUUCACUCCAACCCUAACAAAGCACUCAACAGCUAGAGCCCUGCUCCUGGAGAUCUACUAUCCUGUAGGGUUUCACUCCAACCCAAACAAAGCACACCUCACUCAACAGCAAGAGCAGAGCUGCCCAACCCUGCUCCUGGAGAUCUACUGUCCUGUAGGGUUUCACUCCAACCCAAACAAAGCACACCUCACUCAACAGCAAGAGCAGAGCUGCCCAACCCUGCUCCUGGAGAUCUACUGUCCUGUAGGGUUUCACUCCAACCCAAACAAAGCACACCUCACUCAACAGCUAGAGAUCUGGUUCAGCUGCUCUUUACUUCGCUGCUUUUCUGACUUCUGGACUCUGGAAUGGCUGGGCCCACAGGGUCCUCCCUCCUUCCAGUUCAGAAGAGUUUAGGAGCACGCACACACACACUGACCCGAGUGCUCUGUCAGUUUAGGAGCACACACGCACACACACACACACUGGCCCAAGGGGCCAAUGAGAAAGAUGCCAGUUCUGGUGCAAAAUAUCUUGUGUUAUUAUCAUAGUUUUUUUUUUUUUUUUUUAGCUCCAACAUGAAUGCUUUGAGUAAUUAGAAACUAAUCUUUGAAAACAAUACUGCUCAGAGGAAGAGACCUAUAAUGAGGGACCUUUAAUGUUUUCCCUGCUUUACACAAAAUGUACAUGCUGUUAAUUAAAAUCUGUAAUAAGGCAUAAGCAUCACGCUUUACUCUGUGGAAAGGCAGGAGACAAACGAAAUGAAACUAUAUUCCUUGAGGCAGGGAUGCUGCUCUCAGUGUCUCUCUCUGCUGGUCAAAUUAUAUUGAUUGCUAAAGUGCAUUGGGUAUGUUGCACUGCAGUUAUUCAAAUUCUCCUGAUAAAUGAGGCUUAAUUACAAUUUAAUCAAUCAAUCACUAGAUAAUUUUGAGUAAGUUUGAAAUGUGCAGUGCUGUAGUGAUUUUGGCUUUUUACUUUUCUCUUUCAUGAAUCAUGUUACGUGAAUAAUACUUUCAUAAACAUAAAAACAGAUCUUACUUUCAUCCCAUCUCAUCACUUUUUUAAUAAACAUCUAAUGUGAAAAAUG